rnacentral:rRNA from 1 species
UACGUAGGGGGCAAGCGUUGUCCGGAUUUAUUGGGCGUAAAGAGCGUGUAGGCGGCUAGGUAGGUCCGCUGUUAAGACUCGAGGCUUAACCUCGAGAGGUCGGUGGAAACCAUCUGGCUAGAGUCCGGAAGAGGAGAGUGGAAUUCCUGGUGUAGCGGUGAAAUGCGCAGAUAUCAGGAAGAACACCCGUGGCGAAGGCGGCUCUCUGGGACGGUACUGACGCUGAGACGCGAAAGCGCGGGGAGCGAACCGG